CUUGAACGCUGGCGGCAGGCCUAACACAUGCAAGUCGAGCGUGCGGCGGGCGGGUGUGUAAUGCCUGGGAAUUGCCCAGUCGAGGGGGAUACAAGUUGGACACGACUGCUAAUACCGCAUACGCUGGGAUCGCCCAGGUGGGAUUAGCUAGUUGGGGAGGUAAUGGCUCACCAAGGCGACGAUCCCUAGCUGGUCUGAGCGGAUGAUCAGCCACACUGGAACUGAGACACGGUCCAGACUCCUACGGGAGGCAGCAGUGGGGAAUAUUGCACAAUGGGGGAAACCCUGAUGCAGCCAUGCCGCGUGUGUGAAGAAGGCCUUCGGGUUGUAAAGCACUUUCAGCGAGGAGGCGUUACUCGCAGAAGAAGCACCGGCUAACUCCGUGCCAGCAGCCGCGGUAAUAC
rnacentral:rRNA from 1 species